GACGAACGCUGGCGGCGUGCUUAACACAUGCAAGUCGAGCGGUAAGGCCUUUUCGGGGGUACACGAGCGGCGAACGGGUGAGUAACACGUGGGUGACCUGCCCUCAGCUCUGGGAUAAGCCUGGGAAACCGGGUCUAAUACCGGAUAUGACUCCAUGACGCAUGUUGUGGGGUGGAAAGCCUUGUGCGGCUGAGGAUGGGCCCGCGGCCUAUCAGCUUGUUGGUGGGGNGAUGGCCUACCAAGGCGACGACGGGUAGCCGGCCUGAGAGGGCGACCGGCCACACUGGGACUGAGACACGGCCCAGACUCCUACGGGAGGCAGCAGUGGGGAAUCUUGCGCAAUGGGACGAAAGCCUGACGCAGCGACGCCGCGUGAGGGAUGACGGCCU
rnacentral:rRNA from 1 species